GAGGGAAGAAUGAUGAGGACUGGGCGGAGAAGCACAAGGAACACAUCUAAGCUUGGGAUUGUAGGAUUGAAUCUAUACCCACCCAUGGACCAUUUUUUUCGGCGGACACGACAACAGUUGAUAAUUACUUGACAUGGUUCAGAGUCGUCAGCAAGUCGGAUCUACUGCUACUAGAGGCAAGGAGUAGGCAAAUUCGGCCUAAGAGGAAAUGUUGAUCACCACAAUAGCAUAGGAGGGGACACGAUCGCACGAC
rnacentral:lncRNA from 1 species